rnacentral:rRNA from 1 species
GACGAACGCUGGCGGCGUGCCUAACACAUGCAAGUCGAACGAAGCAUAGCAAUAUGCUUAGUGGCGGACGGGUGAGUAACGCGUGAACAAUCUGCCCUGUACAAAGGAAUAGCCUCGGGAAACCGGGAUUAAAACCGUAUGACACUUUAGUAUCGCAUGAUAAGAAAGUCAAAUCGAAUAGAGGUAUGGGAUGAGUUCGCGUCUGAUUAGCUGGUUGGCGGGGUAACGCCCACCAAGGCGACGAUCAGUAGCCGGCCUGAGAGGGUGAACGGCCACACUGGGAUUGAGAUACGGCCCAGACUCCUACGGGAGGCAGCAGUCGAGAAUAGUCUACAAUGGUCGGAAGACUGAUAGUGCGACGCCGCGUGAACGAUGAAUCCCUUCGGGGUGUAAAGUUUCUUUUAUAUGUGAGCAGUGCUUCUUAUAUUAACAGUAUGGGGAAGCGAUAUUAGCAUAUGAAUAAGCAACGGCUAACUCCGUGCCC